rnacentral:rRNA from 1 species
GAUGAACGCUGGCGGCGUGCCUAAUACAUGCAAGUCGAGCGAACAGAUGAGGAGCUUGCUCCUCUGACGUUAGCGGCGGACGGGUGAGUAAAACGUGGAUAACCUACCUAUAAGACUGGGAUAACUUCGGGAAACCGGAGCUAAUACCGGAUAAUAUAUUGAACCGCAUGGUUCAAUAGUGAAAGACGGUUUUGCUGUCACUUAUAGAUGGAUCCGCGCCGCAUUAGCUAGUUGGUAAGGUAACGGCUUACCAAGGCAACGAUGCGUAGCCGACCUGAGAGGGUGAUCGGCCACACUGGAACUGAGACACGGUCCGGACUCCUACGGGAGGCAGCAGUAGGGAAUCUUCCGCAAUGGGCGAAAGCUUGACGGAGCAACGCCGCGUGAGUGAUGAAGGUCUUCGGAUCGUAAAACUCUGUUAUUAGGGAAGAACAAAUGUGUAAGUAACUAUGCACGUCUUGACGGUACCUAAUCAGAAAGCCACGGCUAACUACGUG